CAGCGCCUGACUUUUGUUCUUUUGAAAGUAGAACCUAUCUUAUGUGCUAUACAAAUAGUUGAAGGUUAGUUAGCAGAGUAACUGCAUGUAGUAAUUCUGCCAGUCUCCUUCAGGAAAAA